GCGCGCGAUUGUCUUAGUAGAGGCCUCAUUGUGUUCACAAACUUAAUUAAAUUUCUGCCAAAAAUUGAACUUAACGCAGUCUCGGACAAAAUUUUCAUUUUUCGUGCUUUAAGCCCAGUGAUGUAGUUUUCGUGCGAAACUCGCAUAAAAAAUGAAUUCAAAAGACACAGAAUGGGGGACUGGGUACGAGUAAACAACCGUUUUGAACUGCUUAUUGGAUCCUCUAUGUCUCCUGUUCUAACUUUUCAAUCGGGACUCUGACAUCCAAUUUUUGCAACUUUAAGCAACGCAAUUUUCUACUACGGCAGAAACGGACAGAUUGACGAACGCGAAACAGAAUCUGGUUUGUUUGGUGGAGGGUCUUUGAGUUUACCCGGAAGAUUCCGCAGGCGGAGCAGAAAGACCUGUCUCCGUACCCACGCUGUUUUGACGAACUGGUGUUUUUGGAUGAACAGUUUUAACUUUUUUCAUGCAGCCAUCAUUGCACAUUUACUCUCAAAGAAAUAUAUAAGCAUAGAUGACACGUUACGCACACGUUACGCACACGUUACGCACACGUUACGCCACACGUUACGUUUGAGUUUAUAUAGAAUAUUAAUGAAAACCGACACGUUACACACGUUACGCCCCAUUCUUAUAAAGGUAGAAUAGGUCUACCUUUAAUAUAUUAGGCGUAACGUGUGUAACGUGUCAGCUUUCUAUAGAUUAUUAUAUACUGAAAGGCGUAACGUGUGGCGUAACGUGUGCGUAACGUGUGCGUAACGUGUUGAAAUUGAGUUCUAUUUAGUUUGCAUGCAUGUAUAAGGUCUUCAAAAUAAUUUUCACGCGGAGGCAAUAAAUCGUUGAGUUUUCGCAUAGUACUUUUAUUGAAUAUGCAUGGU